rnacentral:rRNA from 1 species
UACAGAGGUCUCAAGCGUUGUUCGGAUUCAUUGGGCGUAAAGGGUGCGUAGGCGGCGCGGUAAGUCGGGUGUGAAAUCUCGGAGCUUAACUCCGUAACUGCAUUCGAUACUGCCGUGCUUGAGGACUGGAGAGGAGACUGGAAUUUACGGUGUAGCGGUGAAAUGCGUAGAUAUCGUAAGGAAGACCAGUGGCGAAGGCGGGUCUCUGGACAGUUCCUGACGCUGAGGCACGAAGGUCAGGGGAGCAAACGGG